UACAGAGGUAGCAAACGUUGUCCGGAUUCACUGGGCGUAAAGGGAUCGUAGGCGGUCAUUUAAGUCAAGUGUGAAAUCGUUCAGCUCAACUGAACAAUCGCAUUUGAUACUGAUUGGCUUGAGUGCAGAAGGGGAAACUGGAAUUUCCGGUGUAGCGGUGAAAUGCGUAGAUAUCGGAAAGAACACCCGUGGCGAAGGCGGGUUUCUGGUCUGCAACUGACGCUGAGGAUCGAAAGCUAGGGGAGCAAACGGG
rnacentral:rRNA from 1 species